GUGGGGAAUAUUGGACAAUGGGCGCAAGCCUGAUCCAGCCAUGCCGCGUGAGUGAUGAAGGCCCUAGGGUUGUAAAGCUCUUUCGCCAGGGACGAUAAUGACGGUACCUGGAUAAGAAGCCCCGGCUAACUUCGUGCCAGCAGCCGCGGUAAUACGAAGGGGGCUAGCGUUGUUCGGAAUCACUGGGCGUAAAGCGCACGUAGGCGGAUCUUUAAGUCAGGGGUGAAAUCCCGAGGCUCAACCUCGGAACUGCCUUUGAUACUGGGGAUCUCGAGUCCGGGAGAGGUGAGUGGAACUGCGAGUGUAGAGGUGAAAUUCGUAGAUAUUCGCAAGAACACCAGUGGCGAAGGCGGCUCACUGGCCCGGUACUGACGCUGAGGUGCGAAAGCGUGGGGAGCAAACAGGAUUAGAUACCCGUGUAGUCC
rnacentral:rRNA from 1 species